UGGAGUUCAUGCAAGUUCUAACC
rnacentral:piRNA from 2 species